GGGGGGCUGGGGGGGGGGAGGGGGGGGGGAGUGAUGAUGACGAUGAUUUUUUGUUCUCGCUUUUUGUUAUUGUUAUCAUUUUUAGGUGUGAUUUCGCAUCGGGUGGGGGAUUCUGCGCCGCUCGUCCUCGCGCCGGCGGUGCUGGGAUUUUCGGCCGAUAACCUCAGAGAGCAGAAAUCCCUCCCGAGGGGGCAUUACACGCCGGGGGGGGCCUUUUCGGAGAGGUUCUGCAGCACGUCGUCGAUCCUAUCGUCUUCGAUAACCACUCUCUUGCUGCGCCCGAUCUGCCCCAGCUUGGGGGGCCGCUUGCCCUGUCCGGCCGCCAGCAGCGCAUCGGGGCCGUGGCGGAGGGGCACGGGGAAGGGCAGCUCGCCCCCCGCCGCGCCCCCCGCCAGCUGCCCCCCGCCGUACGGCGGCCCCUCCGCCAUGGCCGGGGCGGCGGUGGCGGCGGUGGCGGUGGCAGAGGGGGGCCCGGCGCCGCCCCCCCCCCCCGACAGCCUCCCGGGCCGCGGGGGGUCCCGAGCCCCCCUGGGGCUGCGGCUCGGCGGAGCGGGGCGGCCGCCCGUCACAUCCCGGCGCUGCCCGCCCGGCGCUGCCCGCGGCUCCGGCGGUUCCGCGGCGGCGGAAUCGGUGGCGGCGGCGAUAGAGGAG
rnacentral:lncRNA from 1 species